UACAGAGGGUGCGAGCGUUGUCCGGAAUCACUGGGCGUAAAGAGCGUGUAGGCGGCCAGGUAGGUCUGCUGUGAAAACUCGAGGCUCAACCUCGAGCUGUCGGCGGAAACCAUCUGGCUAGAGUCCGGAAGAGGAGAGUGGAAUUCCUGGUGUAGCGGUGAAAUGCGCAGAUAUCAGGAAGAACACCCGUGGCGAAGGCGGCUCUCUGGGACGGUACUGACGCUGAGACGCGAAAGCGUGGGGAGCGAACAGG
rnacentral:rRNA from 1 species